GUUGAAUCCACUUUUCUCAAAUGUUAAAAUAUGUUAUGAAAAAUGUUGAAUCGUAGUAACUUUAUUUUUUACAAAAUGUUGAUCUGAUUUUAGAAAAUGUUGAAUCUACUAUUUUCAUAUGUUUAGCCAACUAUCAGAAAAUUGUUGAAUGUGAUAUAUUGAAAUAUUGAUUUAAUAUUUUAUUCAGAUCUAAAAUAUUUUCAAAACAAUUGAAAAUAUUUCCCACCCAAAACAAUUCCCCCUAAGGACCCACGUGACAGGUCGAGGGGAUCGGAAAGUGUUGGAAAGGGAUGAAAACUAGCCGUUAGAAAAUGACUGCCGUUUUCUCCCGUCUUUUUUCACCCCGCACU
rnacentral:lncRNA from 1 species